rnacentral:tRNA from 1 species
GUGGUUGUGGCUCAGCGGUAGAGUGCUCACGUAGCAUGUGUGCAGUGUGGGUUCGAUCCUCAGCACUACA